rnacentral:rRNA from 1 species
GACGAAGGGGGCUAGCGUUGUUCGGAAUUACUGGGCGUAAAGCGAGUGUAGGUGGUUGUCCAAGUUGGAUGUGAAAGCCUUGAGCUCAACUCAAGAAAUGCAUUCAGGACUGGAUGGCUAGGAGGACCGGAGAGGAUAGUGGAAUUCCCAGUGUAGUGGUGAAAUACGUAGAGAUUGGGAAGAACACCAGUGGCGAAGGCGGCUAUCUGGGACGACCCCUGACACUGAGGCACGAAAGCUAGGGGAGCAAACAGG